AUGCUUAUCUGAAUGGGUCUAUGGGUGAUCAUUAAGACCCAUAGCCUGGAUUGGUGACAUAUAAUGCACUUUAUAGGGGUGCCCGUCUAAGGUCAAACCAUGUUGGUUGAACCUACGUCAUAAUUUUGUUUUGGGGGGAAAUGGUUAAAAUAAUUUCAUU